rnacentral:rRNA from 1 species
GAUCCUGGCUCAGGACGAACGCUGGCGGCGCGCCUAACACAUGCAAGUCGAACGAGCAAAGAGGAGCUUGCUUCUCUGAGCGAGUGGCGAACGGGUGAGUAACGCGUGAGGAACCUGCCUCAAAGAGGGGGACAACAGUUGGAAACGACUGCUAAUACCGCAUAAGCCCACGGGUCGGCAUCGACCAGAGGGAAAAGGAGCAAUCCGCUUUGAGAUGGCCUCGCGUCCGAUUAGCUAGUUGG